rnacentral:rRNA from 1 species
AUGAACGCUGGCGGCGUGCUUAACACAUGCAAGUCGAACGGAAAGGCCCUGCUUUUGUGGGGUGCUCGAGUGGCGAACGGGUGAGUAACACGUGAGUAACCUGCCCUUGACUUUGGGAUAACUUCAGGAAACUGGGGCUAAUACCGGAUAGGAGCUCCUGCUGCAUGGUGGGGGUUGGAAAGUUUCGGCGGUUGGGGAUGGACUCGCGGCUUAUCAGCUUGUUGGUGGGGUAGUGGCUUACCAAGGCUUUGACGGGUAGCCGGCCUGAGAGGGUGACCGGCCACAUUGGGACUGAGAUACGGCCCAGACUCCUACGGGAGGCAGCAGUGGGGAAUAUUGCACAAUGGGCGGAAGCCUGAUGCAGCAACGGCGCGUGCGGGAUGACGGCCUUCGGGUUGUAAACCGCUUUCGCCUGUGACGAAGCGUGAGUGACGGUAAUGGGUAAAGAAGCACCGGCUAACUACGUG